AGAUUGAACGCUGGCGGCAGGCCUAACACAUGCAAGUCGAGCGGUAACAUUUCAAAAGCUUGCUUUUGAAGAUGACGAGCGGCGGACGGGUGAGUAAUGCCUGGGAAUAUGCCUUGAUGUGGGGGAUAACCAUUGGAAACGAUGGCUAAUACCGCAUAAUGCCUACGGGCCAAAGAGGGGGAUCUUCGGACCUCUCGCGUCAAGAUUAGCCCAGGUGGGAUUAGCUAGUUGGUGAGGUAAUGGCUCACCAAGGCGACGAUCCCUAGCUGGUCUGAGAGGAUGAUCAGCCACACUGGAACUGAGACACGGUCCAGACUCCUACGGGAGGCAGCAGUGGGGAAUAUUGCACAAUGGGCGCAAGCCUGAUGCAGCCAUGCCGCGUGUGUGAAGAAGGCCUUCGGGUUGUAAAGCACUUUCAGUCGUGAGGAAGGUAUUAGCGUUAAUAGCGUUAUUGUUUGACGUUAGCGACAGAAGAAGCACCGGCUAACUCCGUGCCAGCAGCCGCGGUAAUACGGAGGGUGCGAGCGUUAAUCGGAAUUACUGGGCGUAAAGCGCAUGCAGGUGGUUUGUUAAGUCAGAUGUGAAAGCCCGGGGCUCAACCUCGGAAUUGCAUUUGAAACUGGCAGACUAGAGUACUGUAGAGGGGGGUAGAAUUUCAGGUGUAGCGGUGAAAUGCGUAGAGAUCUGAAGGAAUACCGGUGGCGAAGGCGGCCCCCUGGACAGAUACUGACACUCAGAUGCGAAAGCGUGGGGAGCAAACAGGAUUAGAUACCCUGGUAGUCCACGCCGUAAACGAUGUCUACUUGGAGGUUGUGGCCUUGAGCCGUGGCUUUCGGAGCUAACGCGUUAAGUAGACCGCCUGGGGAGUACGGUCGCAAGAUUAAAACUCAAAUGAAUUGACGGGGGCCCGCACAAGCGGUGGAGCAUGUGGUUUAAUUCGAUGCAACGCGAAGAACCUUACCUACUCUUGACAUCCAGAGAAGCCAGCGGAGACGCAGGUGUGCCUUCGGGAACUCUGAGACAGGUGCUGCAUGGCUGUCGUCAGCUCGUGUUGUGAAAUGUUGGGUUAAGUCCCGCAACGAGCGCAACCCUUAUCCUUGUUUGCCAGCGAGUAAUGUCGGGAACUCCAGGGAGACUGCCGGUGAUAAACCGGAGGAAGGUGGGGACGACGUCAAGUCAUCAUGGCCCUUACGAGUAGGGCUACACACGUGCUACAAUGGCGCAUACAGAGGGCUGCCAACCAGCGAUGGUGAGCGAAUCCCAAAAAGUGCGUCGUAGUCCGGAUUGGAGUCUGCAACUCGACUCCAUGAAGUCGGAAUCGCUAGUAAUCGUGGAUCAGAAUGCCACGGUGAAUACGUUCCCGGGCC
rnacentral:rRNA from 2 species